AGGUUACUGCUAUCGGUGUUCGCCUAAGCCAUGCGAGUCAUAUGUUCUUCGUGAACAUGGCGUACUGCUCAGUAACACGUGGAUAACCUGCCCUUGGGUCCGGCAUAACCCCGGGAAACUGGGGAUAAUUCCGGAUAACGCAUAUAUGCUGGAAUGCUUUCUGCGUAAAAUGGAUUCGUCUGCCCAAGGAUGGGUCUGCGGCCUAUCAGGUAGUAGUGGGUGUAAUGUACCUACUAGCCGACGACGGGUACGGGUUGUGAGAGCAAGAGCCCGGAGAUGGAUUCUGAGACAUGAAUCCAGGCCCUACGGGGCGCAGCAGGCGCGAAAACUUUACAAUGCGGGAAACCGUGAUAAGGGUACACCGAGUGCCAGCAUCAUAUGCUGGCUGUCCGGGUGUGUAAAAUACACCCGUUAGCAAGGGCCGGGCAAGACCGGUGCCAGCCGCCGCGGUAACACCGGCGGCCCGAGUGGUGAUCGUGAUUAUUGGGUCUAAAGGGUCCGUAGCCGGUUUGGUCAGUCCUCCGGGAAAUCUGAUAGCUCAACUAUUAGGCUUUCGGGGGAUACUGCCAGGCUUGGAACCGGGAGAGGUAAGAGGUACUACAGGGGUAGGAGUGAAAUCUUGUAAUCCCUGUGGGACCACCUGUGGCGAAGGCGUCUUACCAGAACGGGUUCGACGGUGAGGGACGAAAGCUGGGGGCACGAACCGGAUUAGAUACCCGGGUAGUCCCAGCCGUAAACGAUGCUCGCUAGGUGUCAGGCAUGGCGCGACCGUGUCUGGUGCCGCAGGGAAGCCGUGAGGCGAGCCACCUGGGAAGUACGGCCGCAAGGCUGAAACUUAA
rnacentral:rRNA from 1 species